rnacentral:misc_RNA from 1 species
CAUCGAAUCUUUGAACGCACCUUGCGCUCUAUGGCAAUCCGUAGAGCAUGCCUGUUUGAGUGCCAUGAAAUCUCCCACCCCAAGCGGUUUUUAAAUGAAACGGCUUGGCGGAUGGGGUCUGGAUGGGUGCCUCUGCCUGCGCUACCUAGCACAGGCUCGCCCGAAAUGCAUGAGCGCCUUGAGACACUUUGCAUCCGCCUCUCUGUUUGGGAGGAGGCGGCCAAGCAGUGUUUUUCUCCUGGCAUGGCAUGAUACGUCAUUUGCUAUGUCACCUAAAGGAGGAAUGUUUGGUUGUGUCUGCGUGUGCUUCAAACUUGCCUCUGUGGCACAUCCCAAUUUCACUUCUGGUCUCAAAUCAGGUAGGAUCACCCGCUGAACUUAAGCAUAUCAAUAAGCGGAGGAAAU